rnacentral:rRNA from 1 species
UGGGGAAUAUUGCACAAUGGGCGCAAGCCUGAUGCAGCCAUGCCGCGUGUAUGAAGAAGGCCUUCGGGUUGUAAAGUACUUUCAGUCGGGAGGAAGGUGGUAAGGUUAAUAACCUUAUCAAUUGACAUUACCGACAGAAGAAGCACCGGCUAACUCCGUGCCAGCAGCCGCGGUAAUACGGAGGGUGCAAGCGUUAAUCGGAAUUACUGGGCGUAAAGCGCACGCAGGCGGUUGAUUGAGUCAGAUGUGAAAUCCCCGGGCUUAACCCGGGAAUUGCAUCUGAUACUGGUCAGCUAGAGUCUUGUAGAGGGGGGUAGAAUUCCAUGUGUAGCGGUGAAAUGCGUAGAGAUGUGGAGGAAUACCGGUGGCGAAGGCGGCCCCCUGGACAAAGACUGACGCUCAGGUGCGAAAGCGUGGGGAGCAAACAGG